CCAUCUGCGCUUGGGGCUUAGGGCUUGUAGCUCAGUUGGUUAGAGCGCGCGCUUGAUAAGCGUGAGGUCGGAGGUUCAAGUCCUCCCAGGCCCACCAGUUCAGUGCAGCCCGAAGGGCUGUCACGACGCAAUCCGCAAGGAUUGUCGAACUCCUCUACAAGGUAUCAGGGGCCGUAGCUCAGCUGGGAGAGCGCCUGCUUUGCAAGCAGGAUGUCGUCGGUUCGAUCCCGUCCGGCUCCACCAAUGCGCGAUCCGCAGGAUCGUCGUGAAUGCGCGAUCCGCAGGAUCGUCGUGAAUGCGCGAUCCGCAGGAUCGUCGUGAAUGCGCGAUCCGCAGGAUCGUCGCUUCAGCCACCGCGUUGCGUGUUGGCGAUAGCGCGAUCCGCAGGAUCGUCGCGGCGCGAUCGCAAGAUUGCUGCCUUGGUGUUGAGUAGAGGUGAGAAAAGUCAUUCGUAAAAAGAGUUUGCGCCGAGCUUCGUGCUUGGCGCCUGUUCUGUUUGACAUCGUAAAGAGAAGAUUUGUUCGAACUUCAUGACCCGCAAGGGCCGUGAUUUGUCGCAAGGGACGCUCAAUCCCUUGCAUAUGAUGGGUUUGCCUAACCGCACCCUCGAACCGAUCUCGAGAAGCUGGUCUUUUUGCGCCAAUGACAUCGAGCAAGAUCCCGCACAGGAU
rnacentral:tRNA from 1 species